GGAGAAUAGAUGGGUUUAUUAAAUAACUAGAUGGUUUUGAAAUGACAAGUCUUCCAUCCUGUGCAAAGAUCUGAAGGUUAGACUCUGAGUCAUUCAAAAACCAAAGUGCCAGGAAACAACCGUGGUCCUCUAUGGCAACAACAUGCAAAGUACAGAAGCCUGUGAGAUACAAAGGAAUUUUAGUCUUUUCAAGACUUUGGAAUUUGUAUUUGAUUUUGACCAAUGUCACAGUGUACUCAUAAAAACAGGUAAAUUUCGAGGAAUAAUGCUGGCUUACUUGACAGUGUUUGGUGGGCAAAAGAGCUAGUUAGUGUCUCUGGUAUUGUCUGAUUCCUCAGUUAGAUGCACACACACUUGAGUUACUAAAUGCUCUUUCUUUUUAAAUAUGUACAUUAGAUUCUGCUUCGGGAAGGCUGCAAGAAAAU
rnacentral:lncRNA from 1 species